CAGCCGCCGCGGUAAUACGAGGGGGGCAAGCGUUGUUCGGAAUUAUUGGGCGUAAAGGGUGCGUAGGCGGCCCCGCAAGUCCCAUGUGAAAUCUUCAGGCUCAACUUGAAGUCUGCAUGGGAAACUGCGGGGCUGGAGUAUGGGAGAGGUGAGUGGAAUUCCUGGUGUAGCGGUGAAAUGCGUAGAUAUCAGGAGGAACACCUGUGGCGAAAGCGGCUCACUGGACCAUAACUGACGCUGAGGCACGAAAGCUAGGGGAGCAAACAGGAUUAGAUACCCCGGUAGUCCCUGUCUCUUAUAC
rnacentral:rRNA from 1 species